GACGAACGCUGGCGGCGUGCUUAACACAUGCAAGUCGAACGGUGAUGGGUGCUUGCACCCUGAUCAGUGGCGAACGGGUGAGUAACACGUGAGCAACCUGCCCCCGACUCUGGGAUAACCCCGGGAAACCGGAGCUAAUACCGGAUACGAGACGCACAGGCAUCUGUCGCGUCUGGAAAGAAUUUCGGUCGGGGAUGGGCUCGCGGCCUAUCAGCUUGUUGGUGAGGUAACGGCCCACCAAGGCGACGACGGGUAGCCGGCCUGAGAGGGCGACCGGCCACACUGGGACUGAGACACGGCCCAGACUCCUACGGGUGGCAG
rnacentral:rRNA from 1 species